CCAUUUUAACGAUCGAGAGCAAGGAAAUAAAUCACAGUAGCUGAACGGAAAGAAAACUGUCAGUCAAUUUGUGUGGUUGUUAUAAAUUAAAGCUAUUGGUAUUGGCAACUUUCCUAUUCGAUCCUCGUAUUACCAGGCCGUCAUUUCUUUACAACAGUCCAGGAUACGCUCUGGUGUUCACACUGCAAGGAUGUAGAUGGCGUAAAGAGAUUUGUAGUAUUAAAGGAUAUUUUUUAAAUUAGAAAAGUAAACCUAAAGAUAUGCCUAAAGAAAGUAAUUUACCCAACCAAUACACCGAUGACUAUGGCUACAAUCAAGAAGGCGACACAGACAAACUAACCGGCGGUUACGACCAAUCUACAGCUAGGGUACCUACCACAGAUUACGGGUGUUUUAAGCAAACAUCCGACAAUGCUGAUACUUCACUUUUAAAAAAACAACCCAUUUGUGUUCCUGCAAGAAAUAACGUUCGCAGCUUGUCGCUGCCAGUAACAGGUGCCAGACCAAUGUAUGGUAACGUUGGUCGUAAUACAAAUGUUGUUGUAGAGGAACCAGUAUCAAGCAGUGUAGUUUUUAUAAGACCACCAAAUUAUUUGGGAUUGUCUAUACUUACAUUAUGUUGUUUCUGGCCCUUUGGUCUGGUAGCCAUUAUCUAUGCUAUCGGGUCGACCAAUGCUUCAGAUAAUAUGAAUAUCUCUAAAGCCAGAUCAAAUGGUCAGAUGGCUAAAAACUUUUGUAUUGCCGCAAUAGUGUGUGGUGUCAUAUUGUAUACCGUUAUAGGGAUUAUCAUCAGUCAUUAUGCACAAGUGCAGUACGACAGAUAGAUCCAACAAUCUGCUCACACGACUUCCUGAUCACGGAACCAGAAUUAUUUGUCAUUUCAUUGUAAAUAUUUGCUAUGAACCCAAUUCCCGCUGAUGAUAAAUGGUGUAAAGUUAGUAUUGGAAAUUUUUCUACAGAAUACUGAAUUGUGUAUCUUGAAUGUAACGGGGAACGAUUAAAUACUCCAUUGGUGCAGUGGAUUGCCCAGGAGCUAAAUCCGAUGAUCUGUACGACAUGUUAGUUGUGAUUAAAAGACUAAUUGUAGAAUUAAUUUUACUGGAAUAAAACAUGAUGCUCAUCCUACAAACGAGAUCUCACACUAAUUUAAUAGGGAAGUGACAUUGUUAUGCUAAAUAUUUAUUUUUACUAGUCACUGAGCGCUAAAUAAACAUAUCGGGUGUUAAUAAGCGAGAUUUCGUCAGCUCUGGCGAUAUUUACCAUUGUUCGUGAU